AUUGAACGCUGGCGGCAGGCCUAACACAUGCAAGUCGAGCGAGUGGCGGACGGGUGCGUAAUGUAUGGGGACCUGCCCGAUAGAGGGGGAUAACUACUGGUAACGGUGGCUAAUACCGCAUACUAUCGGAUGUACCCAUAUGGGAUUAGCUAGUAGGUGGGGUAAAGGCUCACCUAGGCGACGAUCUCUAGCUGGUCUGAGAGGAUGAUCAGCCACACUGGAACUGAGACACGGCGCAGAAUCCUACGGGAGGCAUCAGUGGGGAAUAUUGCACAAUGGGCGCAAGCCUGAUGCAGCCAUGCCGCGUGUAUGAAGAAGGCCUUAGGGUUGUAAAGUACUUUCAGCGGGGAGGCGUUACCCGCAGAAGAAGCACCGGCUAACUCCGUGCCAGCCGCCGCGGUAAUUC
rnacentral:rRNA from 1 species